UACGUAGGGUGCAAGCGUUAAUCGGAAUUACUGGGCGUAAAGCGUGCGCAGGCGGUUUUGUAAGUCUGUCGUGAAAUCCCCGGGCUCAACCUGGGAAUUGCGAUGGAGACUGCAAGGCUAGAAUCUGGCAGAGGGGGGUAGGAUUCCACGUGUAGCAGUGAAAUGCGUAGAGAUGUGGAGGAACACCGAUGGCGAAGGCAGCCCCCUGGGUCAAGAUUGACGCUCAUGCACGAAAGCGUGGGGAGCAAACAGG
rnacentral:rRNA from 1 species